AAAGUCAGAGAAAACUACUCCAUACACGUCUCAGAAUCUCCAUUCAACAUCAGCCGGGGUGUGAUCGCGUAGCAAGGACACCAGUGCCAUUAAAUUAACAAUAAAAUAGUGAAAAACAAACCUAUUUAACACAUUAACCUAUGAAAUGUAAAAUUUAAGUGUCAUUGUAACAAAAACAAAUGAAUCUGUGAAAAAAAAUCAACAUAUACAACCUCCUUUCGUUGGACUAGAUAUAAUGAUAGCUUAGACAAUGGACGACAGAGCUUUCGAGAUGAUUAAAAACGGUUUUUGUUUUCACAAAGCUGCUUGAAUUUGGAAGUUUCCAAGGUGUGCGAUCAAGAGGACGCGAUGCACCCGGCCGCCAGGUGACGCUGCCGCUUACACCCGCGGAACAUGUCAUGGGACUCAAUCGAGUCGCGCGACUUCCUCGGCGGGGUGCCGGCGCACCAACUAUCGGCAACGCGACUGCUCAGUUCCCCUGACCCGUCACGACACCAUCUUGAAGAUCCACCAGACGUGUUCCCGUUCUCUGAAGAGUACCCAACGGAAGUGCGGAAUGGGGCGAUCCGCUGGGGCUCCAGGUUCGGUCCCGCGCACCGCCCACCCGCCGGCGUCCUCGAAUGCUUCCGAAUCUGCCGUUCUCGCCUUGAUCAGUAUCUUGCGAGGCGAAAG
rnacentral:misc_RNA from 1 species